AAUCAACCGAGAUUCCCCCAGUAGCGGCGAGCGAACGGGGAGCAGCCCAGAGCCUGAAUCAGUAUGUGUGUUAGUGGAAGCGUCUGGAAAGGCGCGCGAUACAGGGUGACAGCCCCGUACACAAAAAUGCACAUGCUGUGAGCUCGAUGAGUAGGGCGGGACACGUGGUAUCCUGUCUGAAUAUGGGGGGACCAUCCUCCAAGGCUAAAUACUCCUGACUGACCGAUAGUGAACCAGUACCGUGAGGGAAAGGCGAAAAGAACCCCGGCGAGGGGAGUGAAAAAGAACCUGAAACCGUGUACGUACAAGCAGUGGGAGCACGCUUAGGCGUGUGACUGCGUACCUUUUGUAUAAUGGGUCAGCGACUUAUAUUCUGUAGCAAGGUUAACCGAAUAGGGGAGCCGAAGGGAAACCGAGUCUUAACUGGGCGUUAAGUUGCAGGGUAUAGACCCGAAACCCGGUGAUCUAGCCAUGGGCAGGUUGAAGGUUGGGUAACACUAACUGGAGGACCGAACCGACUAAUGUUGAAAAAUUAGCGGAUGACUUGUGGCUGGGGGUGAAAGGCCAAUCAAACCGGGAGAUAGCUGGUUCUCCCCGAAAGCUAUUUAGGUAGCGCCUCGUGAAUUCAUCUCCGGGGGUAGAGCACUGUUUCGGCAAGGGGGUCAUCCCGACUUACCAACCCGAUGCAAACUGCGAAUACCGGAGAAUGUUAUCACGGGAGACACACGGCGGGUGCUAACGUCCGUCGUGAAGAGGGAAACAACCCAGACCGCCAGCUAAGGUCCCAAAGUCAUGGUUAAGUGGGAAACGAUGUGGGAAGGCCCAGACAGCCAGGAUGUUGGCUUAGAAGCAGCCAUCAUUUAAAGAAAGCGUAAUAGCUCACUGGUCGAGUCGGCCUGCGCGGAAGAUGUAACGGGGCUAAACCAUGCACCGAAGCUGCGGCAGCGACGCUGAUGCGUUGUUGGGUAGGGGAGCGUUCUGUAAGCCUGCGAAGGUGUGCUGUGAGGCAUGCUGGAGGUAUCAGAAGUGCGAAUGCUGACAUAAGUAACGAUAAAGCGGGUGAAAAGCCCGCUCGCCGGAAGACCAAGGGUUCCUGUCCAACGUUAAUCGGGGCAGGGUGAGUCGACCCCUAAGGCGAGGCCGAAAGGCGUAGUCGAUGGGAAACA
rnacentral:rRNA from 1 species